UGGGGAAUUUUGGACAAUGGGGGAAACCCUGAUCCAGCCAUCCCGCGUGUGCGAUGAAGGCCUUCGGGUUGUAAGGCACUUUUGGCAGGAAAGAAACGUCGCGGGUUAAUACCCCGCGAAACUGACGGUACCUGCAGAAUAAGCACCGGCUAACUACGUGCCAGCAGCCGCGGUAAUACGUAGGGUGCAAGCGUUAAUCGGAAUUACUGGGCGUAAAGCGUGCGCAGGCGGUUCGGAAAGAAAGAUGUGAAAUCCCAGAGCUUAACUUUGGAACUGCAUUUUUAACUACCGGGCUAGAGUGUGUCAGAGGGAGGUGGAAUUCCGCGUGUAGCAGUGAAAUGCGUAGAUAUGCGGAGGAACACCGAUGGCGAAGGCAGCCUCCUGGGAUAACACUGACGCUCAUGCACGAAAGCGUGGGGAGCAAACAGGAUUAGAUACCCUGGUAGUCCACGCCCUAAACGAUGUCAACUAGCUGUUGGGGCCUUCGGGCCUUGGUAGCGCAGCUAACGCGUGAAGUUGACCGCCUGGGGAGUACGGUCGCAAGAUUAAAACUCAAAUGAA
rnacentral:rRNA from 1 species